GCGGAUGUGGCGAAAUAGGAAAACGCAUAUGGCUUAGGACCAUAUACUAAAUAUAUACAUUAGUUUGAGGGUUCAAGUCCCUCCAUCCGCA
rnacentral:tRNA from 1 species